AUCUAGAUGACGAGUCCCAAAUAGAACGAAAUGAGCAUCUUGGGU
rnacentral:hammerhead_ribozyme from 1 species